GUAACAGCUCACUGGUCGAGAGACUCUGCACGGAAAAUAAUCGGGCAUCAAACUACGAACCGAAGUUCUAAGAUUGCUACUAGGUAGUAUAUCGGUAGGGGAGCAUUGAAACUACAGCGAAGGUGUGCGGCGACGCAUGCUGGAGUGGUUUCAAAAGAAAAUGUAGGCAUAAGUAACGAUAAUUGAAGUGAAAAACUUCAACGCCGUAAACCCAAGGUUUCCUGAUCAAUGUUAAUCAGAUCAGGGUUAGUCGGGUCCUUAGGCAAACCCGAAAGGGGCAGCUGAUGGCAAGUCGGUUAAUAUUCCGACACCUGCUUAUACUUCGAUGGGGUGACGAGGUAGUGAAAGAUCCGCGUUCUUACGGAAUAGAACGUUAAAGGGUGUAGAUAUUAGUUGUGUAGGCAAAUCCGCACGAUUAGUCGAACCUGAUAGUACAGCAAAGCUUCGGCCGCGCUGAUAGUGAUCCUAAUCAAACCUCCGAGAAAAACCUCUAAGUUAUGGUAUAAGCAGCCCGUACCGCAAACCGACACAGGUGGGUGGGAUGAAUAUUCUAAGGCGCUCGGGUGAGCCGUGGAGAAGGAACUAGGCAAAUUAACGCUGUAACUUCGGGAUAAAGCGUACCAUAGAGAUAUGGUCACAGUAAAAUGAUUCAACCAACUGUUUAACAAAAACACAGGGCCCUGCAAAAUCGAAAGAUGACGUAUAGAGCCUGAUACCUGCCCGGUGCUGGAAGGUUAAGGAAGGAUGUUCGGCGCAAGCCAAAGCUUCUGACUGAAGCCCCAGUAAACGGCGGCCGUAACUAUAACGGUCCUAAGGUAGCGAAAUUCCUUGUCGGGUAAGUUCCGACCUGCACGAAUGGUCUAAUGAGUUGAGUACUGUCUCCUCCACGAGCCCGGUGAAAUUGUAGUAUCGGUGAAGAUGCCGGUUACCCGUCACGGGACGGAAAGACCCCAUGAACCUUCACUACAACUUUGCAUUGAUUUUGAAUUUUUGAUGUGUAGGAUAGUUGGGAGACUUUGAAGUUGUGUCGCCAGGCAUGAUGGAGUCAACGUUGAAAUACCAACCUUUAAACAUUUAGAAUCUAAUCCCUAACGGGAAACAGUGCAUGGUGGGUAGUUUGACUGGGGUGGUCGCCUCCUAAAGUGUAACGGAGGCUUGCAAAGGUUCCCUCAGUACGGUUGGUAAUCGUACAUAGAGCGUAUUAGUAUAAGGGAGCUUGACUGUGAGACUUACAAGUCGAGCAGGGACGAAAGUCGGCUAAAGUGAUCCGGCGGUUCUGUAUGGAAGGGCCGUCGCUCAAAGGAUAAAAGGUACUCCGGGGAUAACAGGCUGAUCU
rnacentral:rRNA from 1 species